rnacentral:misc_RNA from 1 species
UGCCACGACCACCUGCCCUCUCUCUCACUCCGCUACCAGUCGGCAAAAGCACAAAACAAAACGAAAACACCGCUUCGGGUGCUCUUCGCUCUCGAGCUUGCUACCAAGACGGUAGGGAGAGGGGGACGGGGCAAAGACGGCUUUCUUUUCGCUCUCUCUCCCUGUAUCCUUCCAUCAGCCACCGCUUCGGAGCGGCGUGCGCAGACGAGGGGAGCACUUAUCAAAGGGAAGCUCACAUCUGUGAUUGCGGGCGCUGCUCUCUGUACUGGGACACAUCUCAGAGGACACUCCUUGGCCACCCUACCCUCCCCCCUCCCGCAUGGACUGCUACCACAACCAAGGAAAAGCACUCGGGCCCCCACUAGUGCAUCACCAAUGUCGAAGCUGUUCCGAACGGUUGGUGCCAAGGGUUUCCAGCCCUUCGAUUGGGCUAACGCGGCUCAGUACGCCUCGGGUACCACGCCCAUGAUGAGGGAGCCGGCCUGCUACAUCAACGGCGCGUGGGUCUCAAGCGCGCUCUCGGACAAGACGGUGACCGUCGAGGAUCCGUGUACAAACCAGAUCAUCGGGGCUAUUCCAUGCAUGGGCUACGCGGAGACGACGGCCGCUAUCGAGGCCGCCAGGGCUGUGUUCGAGAGCUGGAGAGAAGUCAUGCCGCGUCAGCGCGCCGCAGCGGUGCGGCGCUGGGGAGAGCUCAUGCGGAAGCACUGUGACGUAGUUGCAAACAUUCUCUCUCGCGAAUCCGGCAAGGUCAUCGCGGAGGGAAAGGGUGAGGUGCUGUACGCGCAAGGUUACGCGGACUGGUACGCCGGCGAGGCGGAGCGGAUCUACGGCGACAUCAUCCCCGGCCCUCGCCCAGGUGUGCAGACGACUGUCUUCCGGGAGCCGGUCGGCGUUGUGGGCAUCAUUACCCCGUGGAACUUCCCGGCAGCGAUGAUCAUGCGUGCCGCCUGCGGUGCCAUCGCGGCCGGCUGCACCGUCGUACUCAAACCUGCCGAGCUCACCCCGUUCACGGCCAUGGCGCUUGCCCAGCUCGCCGACGAAGCCGGCAUCCCGCCAGGCGUCUUCAACGUCGUCGCCGGUGAUGCCCCCAAGAUCGGCGACGCACUCGCCGAGUCCUUCGACGUGCGCAAGGUCUCUUUCACCGGCUCCACCCGCGUCGGCCAGCACCUCUACCGUCGGUGCUCCGAGACGAUGAAGAAAGUCAGCAUGGAACUUGGCGGCAACGCGCCCUGUAUCGUCUUUGAGGAUGCCGACCUGCCUCGUGCCGCUGAUCAGCUCAUCGCCGCAAAGUUCCGCAACGCGGGCCAAACGUGCAUCUGCGUGAACCGCGCGCUCGUGCAGGCGAGUGUCUAUGAGGAGUUCAAGAGCCUCGUGGCCGACCGGGUGCGCGCGCUGAAGGUGGGCAACAGCUUUGACCCCGCCGUGAAGGUAGGUGCCAUGAUUGGAAGUGCCACGCUAGAGCGCAUGACUCGCGUGGUGGAGGAUGCUGUGGAGAAGGGGGCCACGCUGAUGGUGGGUGGAAAGGCUGUGAAGGGCGGUGGCUACUUCUUCGAGCCGACGCUGCUCACUAACGUGCCGCACGACGCAACGCUGUGCUGCCACGACGAGCUCUUCGGCCCUGUUCUGCCCCUUGUGCCCUUCGACACGGAAGAUGCUGCCGUAAAGAUGGCCAACGACACUCGAGCCGGGCUGGCCUCGUACUUCUUCACCAGCGAUUACCGUCGCCAGCACCGCGUUGCGCGGGCCUUGCGCUACGGCAUGGUGGGUGUCAACGACAGCGCCCUUUCUAGUCCAGCGGCUCCGUUUGGCGGGGUCAAGGAGAGUGGGCUCGGCCGGGAUGGGUCCAAGUAUGGCAUUGAAUCCUUUGUCGACAUCAAGUACGUCCUCUUCUCGACUGUCUAGGGGGCAGGCGUGUCCAGGCGAAGGGAAAGGGAAAGGGCAAGGACGAGGGGUUUCGUGCAGCUCACGUAGCGCAUCCUUGCUCUUGCUUCCUUUUCAGGGAGCGUGCCCUCGCCUCGGCUAUCCUUCCAUUGAUUUCGCGCACACUGCACGUCUCGGACGCACGCGCACACCAUCUUCCUGUUCCACGGCGCUUGACUCUUACUCAUCUUCAGAGUCAAUUCCGUGCAUCUGCGAUGAUUGUCGACCGGAGGGACACGCGCCUAGGCACCCGCGCGCGCGUGCCCUUUUCCUCCUGCCUCUUUUGCGUAUCGCUGGCCGCUGCUCCCUUUGUCUUCCACUUUUUUUUUCGUAUUGCUUGUCUGCCCAGUUUUGCAUCCCCUAUCGUCUGCCCUCUUCGAGUACCUUCGUCGCGCGCUUCUGCCUCCUCUACCCGGUUAUUAUCGCCUUUAUCGGGCGUUGUCGCAGGGAGAAUCACCACCACUUCUUCCCCCCCUGUUCGACCUUGCUCUCUCCUGUGAAAGAACGAGCGAGUUGCUCUCUUGCCCUUGCGCGGGAGCACCGCAUAUGCAAUCUCUUGCUCUCUCGCACGC